GGGAGGGAGGGCGGGCCUCUCAAGGGUGAGACGCAAGGCCGGAGCCAGGCUGAGCAAGGGGAGGCCUUGUUUGUUGCUCUGCAGAUGGAGACUUUGGAGACACACCUGACAGAAAAGGGCACCAGGGCCGGCCCGACCUGGCCCUGCCCAUCCGUCCCAACUGGGUCAGUCUGGAUGCUUUAGCACAUCCGGGCCUGCUUGUAUCCUAACCACUCAGGCCCUGCCGAAGAGCUGCCGGCACCAAGUGGGCCCCUCCACAGCCAGCCGCCGCCAUGGGGCCUACCCGAGCUUGGUUCCACACGGCCCAUGAGGUCAAAUGCCCAGGGUGCAGGUUCCAUGACACGGCUAGAACCCGGGGUGACGGCCCACGGUGUGGCUGACGCAGCCCAGCUACGGAGGAAACCCGUCCCCACCGGCAACCUUUCUUACAGGGACUGCAGGAACAGGCAGCACCUCCACGUCUGGCGUCGCCUUGCUGACGAUCCAGCAAACCAGCCCUGCCCACAUGGGCCCCAAGCCGGCUGUAAACCCGUGAUCCCAGACCUUCAGGGCUCCACCUCCCCACCACUGGCGCAGCAGCUGGGCAGUGAGCAAAGGUUCCGCUGCAGGACCUGCUGCUGGUUGGCUAUGACACGCCGGAUGCCAUUGAUGAAGCCGCUCUGGUCAUGGGGGAUGAGGCCGAUGAAGAUCUUCUUCUCGCAGGAGUAGAGGAGCAUGAGACAGGUGUCUUCCGGUGUGGCGAGCAUCAGGACACCGGCGGAUGUCGCCAGCGGAAGGUUCAGCAGCACAGAUGGCCAGCCCUCCCCAGGUGGACGGGGGCACAAAGCCCGAGGACCAGAUGGGCACCAGGCUCUUCAGCGUCUCCAGGUCCUUGGUGAAGUGGAACUGCACAAGGCGUGAGUUCCGGAACAGCGGCACCAGGGUGGUCUGCGGGGAAGCCAACCGGCAUCAUGGACCCCUGGAUCUUCACUCCUAACCCCCAACAGCUGUCAGCAGGGGACCCAGGCGCCUCAGGUCCCAGACCAAGGCACCGGGCACACCUGCCAUCUCGCUGUCCUCUGCAUCCUCAGCUCAGCAGACGCCCCAUGAACCUGGGCAAAUGGCCCACCUGCCCUGCUCUUCAGCCGGCCCAGGCCCACCCUCCAUGUCUGCUCCAGCCAUCCCUUCCCCACCUCUCAUCCUAAGCCAACUUCAGUCCACAGGUACUCCCCGCAAGCCCCAAAGCUGGCCUGCAGGCCCUGCCAACCCUCUGCCUCUGCCCUGCCGGCCCCUCUGCCACGCACCAGCAGCUGCUGCGGGAUGAGCUGCAUGUACAGCUUCCUUGGCCACUGCUCGGUCCUCCUAGGGGACAGAGAACGACGUCAGGUGGGGCCCCUGCUAAGGCGCAGCCUCCAGCCCCAGCCCAACACUCACAGGAUCUCCCCUUGGUUCACGUAGACGUGUGAUGGUAGCCACCUCUUGGACCGACUAUUGGGCUCAGGCCUGGGCUUUGGGGGACAGGAGGAGAGAGACCUCAGGAACAGGACACCAUGGGCCAGCCACCCACACAGCCCACAGUCAAUGGCAUGCACUGGUCCCAGGUCCCCAGGCUGCCCAGGGCUCACCUCCUGCCAUUCCAUGACUCCGCUCCAUGCCAAGAAUUUGUUGUUGACAAUCUGGACAGGCCCUGAGUGGACACCACCAGGUCCCACUGCCUGUGGGAGAGCGGCAGGUGGGCGAUGCACCAGGAGGGCCCUGCUCACACCUGCUAGCUGCUCUCCCUCUGCCUCAGUCCCCGAGACAAGUCCCACCCGGCACACCAAGCCCACGGCCUGCUUCUACUGAGCUGGCAGCCAUGUGACUCACGCAUGGUCUGGGACACCCACCCCCACCGAAAGGCAGCACUGUUGAUAAUGAGGACACAGCCCGCUCCAGGAGGAGCAAGCUGGACCUGCUGCCCAGCCCCCCCACACACACACACACAGAGGCCACCUGCCCUCACUGAGAGCCCUGUGGGGACAGGCUCCUGCCACUCGCCCUGUUCCCUCACUCGGGCCAGGUUGCAGCUGGCUGACACACCUGCUUGCGGGUGGUGAUGACCUGCCGGAUGGCGUUGACAAAGCCACUCUGGUCAUAGGGGAUGAGGCCCAUGAAGAUCUUCUUCUUGGAUGAGUAGAGGAGCAUGAGCACUCGGACCUCGCAGGGGGAGAUGUGGGGGAACAGCAUGCAGCCAGCCUGUAGAGGACCAGUGGUCAGCACCCCGGGGCUGCUCCCCACCCAUGCUGACCCAUCUCCUGCCUGGCACUGAGGCCAAUGGAUGCAGCCCUCAAGGUCAAGACUAUGGUCCAGGGCCAGGUGUGGUGGCACACGCCUGUAAUCCCAGCACUCGGGAGGCUGAGACAGGAUUGCUGUGAGUUCAAGAGCAGCCUGGGCUACAUGGUGAGACCCUGUCUCAAAGAAACCAAAAAAUAAAACAGAAUAAGACCGGGGCUCCAGUGAGGGCCGCGGCUGUGAUGUGUACCUCAGCAGCUCCCUCCCUGCAGGACCGGAGGGCCCCACCCUGCUUCUGACACUUCUGAUGCCCCUCGGCGUCAGACAAAGGUGAUCCAGGGUCAACAGCCCUGGCGUGACCAGGCCCGGAGGGAGCAGGGCCCGUCUGGAUGGAGGGGUCUUGGCACGCACAGCAUCUGUGGAGGUGGCGGCUGUAUCUGGGAGGGGACCAGGUGAGCCGAGUCCUCUCGCAUCCCAUCCCCAGCACCCACCACCUUCCACAGCCCGACCUUUCUUCCCUCUCAAGGGCCAGGGAUACUGCUGAGCCAG